UAUCAUGAUAUUGGUGAGAGGGAGAAGGAAGGAGAUCUGUAGUGACUGCAUCAUGGCUUUUUGGAAAAGUUUGGUGCUUAUCUUAGGAGUACCCCACUCAUAUGCUUGGCUUUAGCAUCUGAAGAAGAUAAUUUUUAGUUUUGUUAUGGACUUGCACAUUUAUAUGUGAUGCACAGUCACAUUCUGAAAAAUAAGGAUAAUUUCUCAAAAAACAAUAGAUUAUAAACGCUGAUUUAUUAACAAUGAAUUGUCUGCACCUAAAUGCUUAUAUAUAAUAAUGUCCACGGAAUAGGAUAGCAGUAGGUAAAGCUUGGACUAGAGAAGGGAUAAGACCCCAAAACCGAUCAGACUUUGUUGGUAUGAAAAGGGAAAAAAGGGAGAAAACCUAAAAGAUACAAACUUAAAUUAAACUUGGCUUGUACAAAAGCAUGUAUCCAAGUUUCAUGUUCAUGGCCAUAUGCAAAAGCGUGCCAAUGCAAAACGAACUUCAUGAUCACGAUCACAUACACACAUUAUGUAUGUAAUAUAACAAGAGUCAGUAUGCUUGUGGUUUAUUAUUGGAUGAGUUUUGAACAAUAUAAUUUUCUUUUGCAUGGACAUACCUAGACGGUAGUAUGGCAAUGUUCAUG
rnacentral:lncRNA from 1 species